CCUACGGGUGGCAGCAGUGAGGAAUAUUGGUCAAUGGGCGCGAGCCUGAACCAGCCACGUCGCGUGAAGGAUGACUGCCCUACGGGUUGUAAACUCCUUUUAUAAAGGAGUAAAGUGAGGCACGUGUGCCUUUUUGUCUGUACUUUAUGAAUAAGGAACGGCAAACUCCGUGACAGCAGCAGCGGUAAUACGGAGGAUGCGAGCGUUAUCGGGAUGUAUUGGGUUUAAGGGGUGCGUAGGCGGAGGGUCAAGUCAGCGGUAAAAUUUCGGGGCUCAACCCCGGCGUGCCGUUGAAACUGACGCCCUUGAGUGAGUGAGAGGUAGGCGGAAUGCGUGGUGUAGCGGUGAAAUGCAUAGAUAUCACGCAGAACGCCGGUGGCGAAGGCAGCUUGCCGG
rnacentral:rRNA from 1 species